GCAAGGGAAAAAGCAGUGAGAGAGAAGGCAAAGGCUGCACACUCCCUCCUCUGUGGCUUUAGUGCCCUGCUCCUCAUCUGGGCUGGCAAAGGUGUGCCAUGCAGUGUUGCCCCCACGAUGAAGGUUUCGGUUUCUCUGCUCGCAGGAAAUCCCACAUCUGGACCUCCGAAUCAGUUCGGAGGUGUGGAUUUCUGGUGUGUCUUCCCUCGGCAGCAGAGCCUGGCCAGCAGGAGUCUCUGUUGCAUAUCUCAGGUUCUGCUAAUCUCACACAUCAGACAAUUUCUGAUUCCGCGGCUCCGUUUUACACUACUUUCCACCAAAGAUGAUUGCACUACUAAUACGAUAAAUCACAAUUUUACACCAUCACUGAUGCCAAAUACAGUUUGCAAUGCUACUGCAGGCAAUCUGUGCAGAAAUACUGAAACUGGGAAAUAAACUUCCACUUUGCUGGAUGAAAUCUCUCUAAAUCACAGGCUCAUGCUUGGACCUUUCAUCCCCAAAUAGUGAAGGAAUAGAAAGGUUUGCAAGCAGCCUCAUUUUCCUCCUGAUGUUGUCUGGCUUCUCCUUGAAUGGUAGCAAUUCAAUUGUGACAUAGGAAAACUAAUUUCUUGAAGUUUAGGGAUUGUAACAGUCUAGCAGUAUUGGCGCUGAACACACAGGCUGCUGCUUUUUUCUACAUGAACUGUGCUGCAAGUGAUUUAGGUGAAAACGAGAAGAAAGAUCUGCUAUUAAUCACCUACAAAGAACUGAGCACAUACUCAGCCUUGAAAGAACAGUGGGGUACAACUCCUGGAUGAUUUGUCAUGUCUCAAGCCAACCUUGACCACUGCUUUUCCUGAAGGAUCUGCAAGUUCCUUUAAAGUCCCAGCGAGAAGGUGAAUGUGAGAGAGAGACUCUGGCGCACAUUAAGGCACAUCUUUUACAUGCCUAAACCUGUGCACUGAGAUCAGUACCAUUGCACCUGUGACCACUUUUAGGUUGAUAUAUUCCAGUGUUUCCAGUGUGAUUACAGUGGAGCUAAAUGGAAUUGCUGUGUUAUAAAACUGAUGUAAUGAUUAGAUGGCUGGAAAUUAGAGUUGGAUUUUUUUAUUUCAUGUGCAGUUUUAACUAUUUAAACUCUUCUUUUCCCAUAUCAGAGUUUUUUCGUGGGGCUGAAAGUUCUGAAGAACUUCACUUUGAAAGUAUUCAAGCAUUUUACUUCAUUUUUGUUGAUCUAAAUGUAACAUUUUAAUAUUUUUGGAUUAAAAACUGACUGAGAUGUAAAUUGUCUUACUCCUUUAUUCUCUUGGACAAUUUAUAUCCACUAUAACAGCAAGC